rnacentral:rRNA from 1 species
AACGAACGCUGGCGGCAGGCUUAACACAUGCAAGUCGAGCGCCCCGCAAGGGGAGCGGCAGACGGGUGGGUAGCGCGUGGGAAUCUACCCAUCUCUACGGAAUAACGCAUGGAAACGUGUGCUAAUACCCUAUACGUCCUUCGGGAGAAAGAUUUAUCGGAGAUGGAUGAGCCCGCGUUGGAUUAGCUAGUUGAUGGGGUAAAGGCCUACCAAGGCGACGAUCCAUAGCUGGUCUGAGAGGAUGAUCAGCCACACUGGGACUGAGACACGGCCCAGACUCCUACGGGAGGCAGCAGUGGGGAAUAUUGGACAAUGGGCGCAAGCCUGAUCCAGCCAUGCCGCGUGAGUGAUGAAGGCCCUAGGGUUGUAAAGCUCUUUCACCGGUGAAGAUAAUGACGGUAACCGGAGAAGAAGCCCCGGCUAACUUCGUGCCAGCCGCCGCCGUAAAAC